UACGUAGGGUGCAAGCGUUAAUCGGAAUUACUGGGCGUAAAGCGUGCGCAGGCGGUGAUGUAAGACAGAUGUGAAAUCCCCGGGCUCCAACCUGGGAACUGCAUUUGUGACUGCAUCGCUGGAGUACGGCAGAGGGGGAUGGAAUUCCGCGUGUAGCAGUGAAAUGCGUAGAUAUGCGGAGGAACACCGAUGGCGAAGGCAAUCCCCUGGGCCGUACUGACGCUCAUGCACGAAGCGUGG
rnacentral:rRNA from 1 species